CCAGCAACUUGGAAGAAUGAAUGGCAAUAGCCAAUUGUAUAAUAAUUGGUUUUACAAUAUCGAUUUUGUCGAAUAAAAUUCGAGAUAAAUUUAUGAUGAUGACAUUAUUUAUCUAUGUGUCUUGACUAAAUUACGUGCCAGCAGUCGCGGUAAUACGUAAGAGACUAGUGUUAUUCAUCUUUAAUAGGUUUAAAGCGUACCCAGGCGGUUAAUAUAGCCUAUGCGAGGAACUAUAUUUAACUAGAGUUAUAUAUGUGAUGGUGCAAUAAAGUACUGUUGAGUGUAGAGAUAAAAUUCUAUCAUACCAGAUAAUUGGCACAGGUAUUGGCGAAAGCAUCGCUUUAUGUAAUAACUGACGUUGGCGGACGAAGGCUUAGGUAACGAACAGGAUUAGAUACCCCAGUAGUCUUUGCAGAAAAUGAUGAAUGUCAUAGGUUAAAUGAAAUAAUAUUUUGUCUAUAAAUGAAAGUGUAAGCAUUCCACCUCAAGAGUAAUUUGGCAACAUUGGAAUUGAAAUCAUUAGACCGUUUCUGAAAUCAGUAAUGAAGUAUGUUGUUUAAUUUGAUAAUCCGCAAAAAACCUUACCACAAUUUGAAUAUUUUUAUAAUUAUUACAAGCGUUGCACGGCUGUCUUCAGUUAAUAUCGUGAGAUUAUGGUUAGUUCCAUAAAAUUAACGUAAACCCUUACUUUAUUUUAAAAUAAAGUAGUUCACCGCUAUAUUGGAUAUGAUAAUAGGGACUAAGGCAAGUC
rnacentral:rRNA from 1 species